rnacentral:rRNA from 1 species
AGCAGCCGCGGUAAUUCCAGCUCCAAUAGCGUAUAUUAAAGUUGUUGCAGUUAAAAAGCUCGUAGUUGAAUUUCGGGAUCAGUAGGUUGGUCAUGCCUUUGGUAUGUACUGGCCUCACUGAUUCCUCCCUCUUGAAGAACCGUAAUGUUAUUAAUUUGGUGUUGCGGGGAAUCAGGACUGUUACUUUGAAAAAAUUAGAGUGUUUAAAGCAGGCUCACGCUUGAAUACAUUAGCAUGGAAUAAUGAAAUAGGACGUAUGAUCCUAUUUUGUUGGUUUCUAGGAUUGACGUAAUGAUUAAUAGGGAUAGUUGGGGGCAUUAGUAUUCAAUUGUCAGAGGUGAAAUUCUUGGAUUUAUUGAAGACUAACUACUGCGAAAGCAUUUGCCAAGGAUGUUUUCAUUAAUCAAGAACGAAAGUUAGGGGAUCGAAGACGAUCAGAUACCGUCGUAGUCUUAACCAUAAACUAUGCCGACUAGGGAUCGGAUGAUGUUAAUUUUUUAAUGACUCAUUCGGCGCCUUA